rnacentral:miRNA from 1 species
GCAGCUGCGGCAACAGCAGCGGCAACAGCAGCAGCAGCAGCGGCAACAGCAGCAGCAGCAACAGCAGCAGCAACA